rnacentral:other from 1 species
UGGGAACUGCCCGGUACGAGCUGUUCGAUUAUCCCUGAGGCUAUUCAUCAUCCAUGGGAGCUGUCCCUGCCCGGGCCCUGGCCCGACGUACAUGGCGCCCACCUGACGUUUUGGGCGUCAGUGGAUUCUCAAGCAAACGGUCAUGGCGGUCCCACC